ACUGCGAAUGGCUCAUUAAAUCAGUUAUCGUUUAUUUGAUAGAACCUUACUACAUGGAUACCUGUGGUAAUUCUAGAGCUAAUACAUGCUAAAAACCCCGACUUCGGGAGGGGUGUAUUUAUUAGAUAAAAAACCAAUGCCCCUCGGGGCUCCUUGGUGAAUCAUAAUAACUUAACGAAUCGCAUGGCCUUGCGCCGGCGAUGGUUCAUUCAAAUUUCUGCCCUAUCAACUUUCGAUGGUAGGAUAGUGGCCUACCAUGGUGGCAACGGGUAACGGGGAAUUAGGGUUCGAUUCCGGAGAGGGAGCCUGAGAAACGGCUACCACAUCCAAGGAAGGCAGCAGGCGCGCAAAUUACCCAAUCCCGACACGGGGAGGUAGUGACAAUAAAUACUGAUACGGGGCUCUUUUGGGUCUCGUAAUUGGAAUGAGUACAAUCUAAAUCCCUUAACGAGGAACAAUUGGAGGGCAAGUCUGGUGCCAGCAGCCGCGGUAAUUCCAGCUCCAAUAGCGUAUAUUAAAGUUGUUGCAGUUAAAAAGCUCGUAGUUGAACCUUGGGUCUGGCUGGCCGGUCCGCCUCACCGCGAGUACUGGUCCGGCUGGACCUUUCCUUCUGGGGAAUCCCAUGGCCUUCACUGGCUGUGGGUGGAACCAGGACUUUUACUGUGAAAAAAUUAGAGUGUUCAAAGCACGCCUUUGCUCGAAUACAUUAGCAUGGAAUAAUAGAAUAGGACGUGCGGUUCUAUUUUGUUGGUUUCUAGGACCGCCGUAAUGAUUAA
rnacentral:rRNA from 1 species